AACGAACGCUGGCGGCAGGCCUAACACAUGCAAGUCGAACGCUGUAGCAAUACAGAGUGGCAGACGGGUGAGUAACGCGUGGGAACGUGCCUUUCGGUUCGGAAUAACUCAGGGAAACUUGAGCUAAUACCGGAUACGCCCUUCGGGGGAAAGAUUUAUUGCCGAAAGAUCGGCCCGCGUCCGAUUAGCUAGUUGGUGUGGUAAUGGCGCACCAAGGCGACGAUCGGUCGCUGGUCUGAGAGGAUGAUCAGCCACACUGGGACUGAGACACGGCCCAGACUCCUACGGGAGGCAGCAGUGGGGAGUAUUGGACAAUGGGCGCAAGCCUGAUCCAGCCAUGCCGCGUGAGUGAUGAAGGCCCUAGGGUUGUAAAGCUCUUUCGCCAGGGACGAUAAUGACGGUACCUGGAUAAGAAGCCCCGGCUAACUUCGUGCCAGCCGCCGCCGUAA
rnacentral:rRNA from 1 species